AUUGAACGCUGGCGGCAUGCCUAACACAUGCAAGUCGAACGAGUGGCGCACGGGUGAGUAAUGUCUUGGAAACUACCUGAUGGAGGGGGAUAACUCCUGGAAACGGUAGCUAAUACCGCAUACCAUCAGAUGUGCCCAGAUGGGCUUAGCUAGUUGGUGGGGUAACGGCUCACCAAGGCGACGAUCCCUAGCUGGUCUGAGAGGAUGAUCAGCCACACUGGAACGGUGACACGGUCCAGACUCCUACGGGAGGGAGUCGUAGGGAAUAGGGCAGAAUGGGCGAGAGCCUGAUGCAGCCAUGCCGAGUGUAUGAAGAAGGCCUUCGGGUUGUAAAGUACUUUCAGCGGGGAGGCGUUACCCGCAGAAGAAGCGCCGGCUAACUCCGUGCCAGCAGCCGCGGUAAUAC
rnacentral:rRNA from 1 species